rnacentral:rRNA from 1 species
AAGAGGGAAAAGCUCAAGUUUGAAAUCUGGCGGGUGACCGUCCAGAGUUGUAAGCUGGAGAGGUGUCGUCCGACGCGGUCCAGGCUCAAUUUCCUUGGAACAGGAGGUCAUGGAGGGUGAGAACCCCGUACAUGGCUUGGGCGCCGCCGUCCUUGUGACGCAUCCUCUAAGAGUCGGGUUGUUUGGGAAUGCAGCUCAAAAUGGGUGGUAAAUUUCAUCUAAAGCUAAAUAUGGGCGAGAGACCGAUAGCAAACAAGUAGAGUGAUCGAAAGAUGAAAAGUACUUUGAAAAGAGAGUGAAACAGUACGUGAAAUUGUUGAAAGGGAAGCGUUUGGCAUCAGCCCAUGGCGGUGGUACGAACAUCCUUGCUUCGGCAUGGUGCACUCGUCCACCGUUGGGCCA